rnacentral:lncRNA from 1 species
AGGGUUGGUGAGUCUUCCAAUGAGAGUAAGUGCAUUGUCGCGAAUGAGAGCUGAUGUAUCAAGGCUAGGGGCCUUAAUGUGCUUGAUGUUGUUUUCACUAACAUGCUUCUUUCCCUUUUCUGCCUCUGUGAAUCUAGGUGCCAUUGACGCUUGCUGGAGGAGUAUCAGUCGACUCCUAGCAGAUAGACACUUGACUAGAGCUUGGGGGGGACACGAAGGUGUGAGGAAACAACUAGAAACUUGACCAAACUUGGGAAAAAGGGGCUUUGUAUGUACAGGCCUUUGAGUUAAUGGUGGAUCUUCUGAGGAAACAUGAUGCAGAAAAAGAGAAGUAGCUAGAUCUGAAGAU